UACGUAGGGUGCGAGCGUUGCCCGGAUUUAUUGGGCGUAAAGGGCGCGUAGGCGGCCACGCACGUCCGUUGUGAAAUCGCCCGGCUCAACUGGGCGGGGUCAGCGGAUACGGCGUGGCUAGAGCAAGCUAGGGGGCAAUGGAAUUCCCGGUGUAGUGGUGGAAUGCGUAGAUAUCGGAAGGAACACCAGUGGCGAAAGCGGCUUCCUGGUCCAGCACCGGACGUCAAGGCACGAAAGCGUGGGGAGCAAACAGG
rnacentral:rRNA from 1 species